AUUGUUACCUUUAGAAUCGAUAAUUGUGAUUUUUUGAUGGAGAUGAGAGGGAAGAUUCUCCUCCAGUUACUUCAUUUUCAUGUCCUUUUUAUUUAAUGUUUAUGGUCUUUUUCGGUUAGUGUGGGUGAGGAAAGGAUCACUUUUGGGCUAUGCAAAUUUGUGUUUGGAAGUCACUCGGAUUAUUGUAAUUUAUCCCGUUGGACCUACAAUGGGGCAUAGGAAAUGCUUUGAUGGAGAUGAGUGGCAGGGUUCCCCUUGUACUAAGAAGCACUAUCAGGUGUAAACGUUUAUAUGCAUGCGCUUUGCUCAUGAUGGUGGUACAAAUGAAAAAUGUGUUAUCAUUGUUCUAUAAGGAGUAUAUAGAAACCUUGUGGUUUAAUAUAUUCAGUAUUGAAAAAUUAUUUUAGAUGUUUUUUUUACCUUUAACUUUUAGGGUUUUGUCCUCCUGAACUAUCCACUUCUUGCAACUUGCAUAUUUAAUAUUAUAAGGUGUUGAUCCUUUAUCAAAAAUAAAUAAAUAUAUAUUACAAGGUGUUGAUGUUACCUCCCUGAACUAAAAUAUUUGUUAUUUAAAAUUUAAAUUCCCUUGGACGAAACUUAGUUAUUGCGUCCCUUGAUCUUCAAGCUGGUAUGUUUUACUCACGUGGCAUGACACCUGAUACUAUUGGGUGUUUCUAUUACCCCUUGAUCUUCAAGCUUUCCUAUUUAUUACCCCUGCAUGAGAAUUAAAAAAAAUUAAACUAAACAAAAAAACCAUCUACAG